rnacentral:rRNA from 1 species
GACGAACGCUGGCGGCGUGCUUAACUCAUGCAAGUCGAACGGAAAGGCCCUGCUUUUGUGGGGUGCUCGAGUGGCGAACGGGUGAGUAACACGUGAGUAACCUCCCCUUGACUUUGGGAUAACUUCAGGAAACUGGGGCUAAUACCGGAUAGAAGCUCCUGCUGCACGGGGGGGGUUGGAAAGUUUCGGCGGUGGGGGAUGGACUCGCGGCUUAUCAGCUUGUUGGGGGGGUAGGGGCUUACCAAGCCUUUGACGGGUAGCCGGCCUGAGAGGGUGACCGGCCACAUUGGGACUACGGUACGGCCCAGACUCCUACGGGAGGCAGCAGUGGGGAAUAUUACACAAUGGGCGGAAGCCUGAUGCAGCAACGCCGCGUGCGUGAUGACGGCCUUCGGGUUGUAAACCGCUUUCGCCUGUGCCGAAGCGUGAGUGACGGUAAUGGGUAAAGAAGCACCGGCUAACUACGUG